GAGAGAGAGAGAGAGAGAGGCAGUUCUAUUGAUGGAAGCUUUCAGUGGGAGUAAAUGGAGUAGAUAAAGAGAGAGAAGCAAAAGAAGAAAGCUUUGUUCAUUGCCAGUAAACAAAGCUUUCAUAUCUGAUGCUCUAUGUUUAGAACUUCUGUUCGACACAGAGAGUUGACAAGAACCAUAGACGAAACUGUUGGAGAAAAAACUGCGAUUCAACGUGAGCAAUGCUUGAAGUCUUUUGAGGGAUUGCUGCAGAAAAGAUCACAGACACGCAGAGAGAGAGAGCAAACUAGAAAAUGUGAGGUCUAGGAGAACGUGUUAAAGCAGAGAGAGAGAGAGCCAAGACAUGGUGGGGAAUGGAAGGCACCUCAGAGGCGAAGAGAAUGGUUGUUCAGAUCAUAAU
rnacentral:misc_RNA from 1 species